rnacentral:rRNA from 1 species
GACGGAGGGUGCUAGCGUUGUUCGGAAUUACUGGGCGUAAAGGGCGCGUAGGCGGCCCUGUCAGUCGGGUGUGAAAGCCCGGGGCUCAACCCCGGAACGGCACCCGAGACGGCGGGGCUGGAGACCGGGAGAGGAGGGUGGAAUAGCCAGUGUAGAGGUGAAAUUCGUAGAUAUUGGCUGGAACACCGGUGGCGAAAGCGGCUCUCUGGCCCGGUUCUGACGCUGAGGCGCGAAAGCGUGGGGGAGCAAACAGG